GGGGGAAGCGGAGUACGUUGGACCCGGCUCCGCCCUACCCCACGGGGCCGCCUGGAGAGGUGCUGGGAGCUGGGUGGAGCUUAGAGGAAUUAAACUUUGGCCCUGCGCCUCGUCCAGCCUAGGUUCCACCCUUUUCUGGGAACAUCUUCACUUCAGGUCAGCUCCAAGGAGGCUAUCCUUGCCCAUCUUCCUAAAAUAGAGCUCUCAAAACCUGGCUGUUUUCCUUCAGAGCACUGGCCUCCAAUUUAAAUCCCAAGUAAGGUACCUGCCGUCGGCAGAUUUGAGCUUUCUUCUUGGACACCUAAUACCCAGAGUCCUCCAGGCUCCGGUAGAUUGCAAAUGACCUGCUUUCUUUCUGUUCCCGGGCGGCAUCGGACCCGUCGGAGAGUAAAUCCCAAGUAAGGUACCUGCCGUUGGCAGAUUUGAGCUUUCUUCUUGGACACCUAAUACCCACAGUCCUCCAGGCUCCGGUAGAUUGCAAAUGACCUGCUUUCUUUCUGUUCCCGGGUGGCAUCGACCCGUCGGAGAGUAAAUCCCAAGUAAGGUACCUGCCGUUGGCAGAUUUGAGCUUUCUUCUUGGACACCUAAUACCCACAGUCCUCCAGUAAAUCCCAAGCAAGGUACCUGCCGUCAGCAGAUUUGAGCUUUCUUCUUGGACACCUAAUACCCACAGUCCUCCAGGCUCCGGUAGAUUGCAAAUGACCUGCUUUCUUUCUGUUCCCGGGCUGCGUUCGGACCCCUGUCGGAUAGUAACUCCCAAGUAAGGUACCUGCCGUCGGCAGAUUGGAGCUUUCUUCUUGGAGACCUAAUACCCACAGUCCUCCAGGCUCCGGUAGAUUGCAAAUGACCUGCUUUCUUUCUGUUCCCGGGCUGCGUUCGGACCCCUGUCGGAGAGUAAAUCCGAAGGCUGGUUGAAGGCUCCAUACAGUAUCUCUAUCUGCCUUGGACACUUCAGGCAUAUGUGCCAUAUAUGACAGAACAUCUUGCACAACAGUCUGAAUUUGCUGCAACCCUUCUCUUGCUCUGGGCCCCACUCAAAACCGGCAGACUUACAAAUUCCUUCGUAAAUGGGCCAGGGCAGCAUGGUAAAAUGUGCUGUAUAUUACCUCCUAAAACACCCGUCAAGUAUUUUUUUUUAACUCUUUCCUAGCAUAGGAGUACAUGAUGCAGCAAUUUGUUUUCAUUUGAAGGAGAUAACCAACAUGCCUCAGGCCACUGAACUCCUAGAAAUGUCACAUGCUCAACAUAUUAUCCAUAUAAUGGACUAGUUCUGCAUUUUAUGGGAUGUUGUGAUUAUCAAGACCCCUGAAGCCUUGCUUAUGACAGAACAGGAGAGUUGCCAUAGACCUGAGCUCAAAUCGUGAAGAUGUACUGCUGUCCCUGCCAUGUGAAAGCAAACACCUUCCAAAAGUGCCUGUAACCAAUACAGCAGGAAAAAAAGUAUAUUUUACAUAAAUAGCUGCAUCCCACAUGUCAAAAGCCAUUUUGAUUUACUCUAGUAAGAAUAACAUAUUUGAAACAGCAGCAGCAAUCAAUUAAAUAUUGAUAAUAAGCAAUGGAGAGAUAACAGGAAAUCACGUAGAAUAUAUCAUUGUUUGCCAAAUAUUCUGGCUCCUUUCCUACUGAGGAAUCAUACUUCCUUAACUGCAGUCUUGUCCACGUGACUUGCAAAUGAAAUGUGAACAAAAGUGACAUGCGUCACCUUUAGACAGAAGA
ensembl:lncRNA TPT1-AS1 TPT1 antisense RNA 1